UACGUAGGGUGCAAGCGUUGUCCGGAAUCACUGGGCGUAAAGGGCGCGUAGGCGGCGUUUUAAGUCGGGGGUGAAAGCCUGUGGCUCAACCACAGAAUGGCCCUUCGAUACUGGGACGCUUGAGUAUGGUAGAGGUUGGUGGAACUGCGAGUGUAGAGGUGAAAUUCGUAGAUAUUCGCAAGAACACCGGUGGCGAAGGCGGCCAACUGGACCAUUACUGACGCUGAGGCGCGAAAGCGUGGGGAGCAAACAGG
rnacentral:rRNA from 1 species